rnacentral:piRNA from 1 species
UCCACAUGUAGGAUUUCCAGGGCACAGCAGU